rnacentral:rRNA from 1 species
GCCCUUUUUGUGAACAUACCUACAACUGUUGCUUCGGCGGGUAGGCCGUCCCCUGAAAAGGACGCCUCCCGGCCCGGACCGGACCCCCCGCGGGACCGGACCCGGCGCCCGCCGGAGGAUAACCAAACUCUAUUGUAACGACGUUUCUUCUGAGUGGCAUAAGCAAAAUAAUCAAAACUUUUAACAACGGAUCUCUUGGUUCUGGCAUCGAUGAAGAACGCAGCGAAAUGCGAUAAGUAAUGUGAAUUGCAGAAUUCAGUGAAUCAUCGAAUCUUUGAACGCACAUUGCGCCCGCCAGCAUUCUGGCGGGCAUGCCUGUUCGAGCGUCAUUUCAACCCUCAAGCUCUGCUUGGUGUUGGGGCUCUACGGUCGACGUAGGCCCUCAAAGGUAGUGGCGGACCCUCCCGGAGCCUCCUUUGCGUAGUAACAUUUCGUCUCGCACUGGGAUCCGGAGGGACUCUUGCCGUAAAACCCCCCAAUUUUCCAAAGGUUGACCUCGGAUCAGGUAGGAAUACCCGCUGAACUUAAGCAUAUCAAUAAGGCGGAGGAA